rnacentral:rRNA from 1 species
AGCGAACGCUGGCGGCAGGCUUAACACAUGCAAGUCGAACGCCCCGCAAGGGGAGUGGUAGACGGGUGAGUAACACGUGGGAACGUACCCUUUGGUUCGGAAUAACUUGGGGAAACUCAAGCUAAUACCGGAUAAGCCCUUAUGGGGAAAGGUUUACUGCCGAAGGAUCGGCCCGCGUCUGAUUAGCUAGUUGGUGAGGUAAUGGCUCACCAAGGCGACGAUCAGUAGCUGGUCUGAGAGGAUGAUCAGCCACACUGGGACUGGGACACGGCCCAGACUCCUACGGGAGGCAGCGGUGGGGAAUAUUGGACAAUGGGGGCAACCCUGAUCCAGCCAUGCCGCGUGAGUGAUGAAGGCCUUAGGGUUGUAUAGCUCUUUUACCCGGGACGAUAAUGACUGUACCGGGAGAAUAAGCCCCGGCUAACUUCGUGCCAGCCGCCGCUGUAA